rfam:Lupinus angustifolius cultivar Tanjil contig_25473, whole genome shotgun sequence.
UGAUGUAUAGCUCAGUUGGUAGAGCAUUGGGCUUUUAACCUAAUGGUCACGGGUUCAAGUCCUACUAUACCCA